GAGAAAGAGAGAGAUAUUCUGUCCCGAGGCUAAGCUAUAAAUCGCAUCGCGGAGCUUAUCAGAGUGGGAUAUUCGUCCGGAGUAUACCGCGGCUCUUCCUCUCCCCUGGGAAUAAAAGAAGCACGGCGGAGACGAAAAAAGGAACAGAAGGAAGGAGAAGAAAACGAUCGAGAAUUCAGACCUGGGUUUGCCGACCGGAGCGCUCACUGACCCCUGACGGCUCCAACCGAAGCGGACGUCACGAGAAACCUUUACCUUCGUUACCUUGGUAGUAUUUAAGGAUCUUCCUCAGCGUGCCGUAUAUACAGCUAUGCAGAACUGGCAGCAAGUUAAUUACGUUAUCAGUCAUUACAAGACAUUGUUGCGAAACGCGCUCAAAGUGACUCCCGCCUCAGGAUAAGAGCCGUUUACAACAACCGACCAAUGGCGGUCGAAGAUGAUAAUUCUAAUUGUACAUUAUAGCGUGCAAGUCACGAAUAUUAUUGCGCGAUGUCUAUUCGUGUUGCACGAGCUCACGAGGCAUUCCCUCGAUAUUCUCGCUGACUGCAAAGAUACAGCAACGAAAUGCUGUUGUUUCUCACCGUCUUCUUUGUUAUUGUCAUCCGCCGCCCUAUUGCUUCCAUAAAAUAUACCAGCAGAAUCAUAGAUGAAUUUUUAACGAUUUAUGAAAAUCCUUACUUCUCUUUUGAAAUAUUAGAAUCAAAUAAUAAUACUGUAUAUUUAACUAUCGUGGAACCGAUAAUGUAUGCUGACAACUUACGUUUAAAAAUUAUGGCGAGAUAAGAUUCGAUGGAGUGGAAUUUCUCAUUUCGAAUAUUCCUACACCACUUUGUAAUAUUUUAGAAGAAGAAGCAACGAAUCAAGAUGAUAAUAUUUUUCGUAAACUACAAAUUACAAAAGUUUUCAGUAUGAAUGGAAUGCACUGUCCUAUACCUGCUAUGACGAGAAAACUAAAGCCAUAUAUAUUUCCAUCGCACAUUACAUUGGAAAACGACAUUGGCUGUGGACAAUUUACGUACAGAAUAACUAUAGACAUCUGUGAUGAAGAAAAUCUAUAUAACUGCGUACCAAUGAUUUCCGCAAAUGUAAUCGUAGAUUCACAGACGGAACAUUGUUCCAACAGUUUAAUGUAACAUAUUAAACUUUUAAUUUUUUCAUAGCGUUAAAUUAACAAUGCGAUAUGUGCGCGCUAUCAUUAAUUGUUUAUAUGAUGUAAUAUAUUGUUAGAUAUUUCUAUAAUAAUAAUGAUAUUAUAUAUUUCA